rnacentral:lncRNA from 1 species
CUGCUGUCGGAAAAUGUCCAGAGGCACCAUCCCUGCUAUGAAGAGGGAAUGCCAGUACAACAGCCACAAGGGGUCUUCCUGUGGCCCUCAAACAAAAAAUCACUGCAUUACAUCAGCAGGCCGGACGCGGUGGUUCAUGCCUGUAAUCCCAGCACUGUGGGAGGCCGAGACGGGCGGAUCACGAGGUCAGCAGAUCGAGACCAUGCUGGCUAACACGACUGCAUUGGAGAGAAAGGCGCCGGGACAGAAAAGCCUGAGAUAAACCACCUAUCAUUCUUGGAGAAAAGGAUGCUGCGGCUUUCCCGAUUUGGUUGAUGAGAUGGAAAAUCAACCCUUACAGGAAGGACAUCACCAAUUCCGGAAAGGAUGCUGCGCCAGUCACGUUUCCGCACUUUGUGAGACGCUGAAAUCUCCAGAAGAUGCCCAAGGUUUUCAAGCUGAACACAGGAGAAAUGACUCUGGAUCUCUGAGGACUGUUUUCCUCAAUAAGGAGCUGCAAUCUUGGCUCCACCACCCUCCCUCCAAAACAUCUCGUGUGUCUGGUAUCUGGUUAUAUUGUGGCCUGACAGAGAAGUUUCUUUCGGGGCCAGUGAAU